rnacentral:pre_miRNA from 1 species
GAAUCAGACACUGCAUUCAAAGACGGUUAUUAUGUAAUAACCAUCUUUGAAUGCAGUGUCUGAUUC